AAUAUUUGACAAUGGGGGCAACACUGAUCCAGCCAUCCCGUGUGUGUGAAUAAGUUCUUCGGAUUGUAAAGCUUUUUAAUGUGGGAGGAAGGGCUUUUGGUUAAUACCAUUACGUUUUGAUUCUCCUAACUCGAUAGGCAGUGGCUAAUUCUCUGCCAGCAGCCGCGGUAAUACAGGGGGUGCAAGCGUUAAUCGGAAUUACUGGGCGUAAAGCGCGCGUAGGUGGUUCAGUAAGAUGGGUGUGAAAUCCCCGGGCUUAACCUGGGAACUGCUUUCAUAACUGCUGAGCUAGAGUACGGUAGAGGGUAGUGGAAUUUCCUGUGUAGCGGUGAAAUGCGUAGAUAUAGGAAGGAACACCAGUGGCGAAGGCGACUACCUGGACUGAUACUGACACUGAGGUGCGAAAGCGUGGGGAGCAAAC
rnacentral:rRNA from 1 species